GAGAGAGUAAACAGUGCGUGAAACCGCUCAGAGGUAAACGGGUGGAGUUGAACUGUAAGCUCCGGGAAUUCAGCUGGUGAGUGUGUCAUGGGCUUGGUCAUUUUCGGCCGGCCUCUAGAGUCCGCUUAGCUGCGGGUCCUUGUUCUUUCGGGAUCAGGGAUGUGCGUUGCGCUUGUCAAGUGCUGUGCGCUCUGGAGGUUGCCGGGCUGGCUCGCCGGUGCACUUUCUCGGAGUGGUCACCACGACCGGCGUUGUUGUCUUGCUGCUGUAGUCAAACUGGCUGGGUUUGGUCCUUGUGGCUGAACUUGGUUGGGAUGGCAGGUAGCUCAUUGGUUGGCUCGUCCAGUCUUUGGGUGUAAUCAGCUGGCUGCAGCAGUAUUGUGCAAUGCGUCGGAGACUGCGGCUUCAGAUAUUUGCUCUUGUGCCGUUGGUUGACAGUGUUGAGUUUGACUGGCGUGUUACCUGCUUCGGUGGGUCCGUCGGUAGCUUAGUGCUGUACGGUCAGCGGUCGCUUGGGUGAUAUCGUUCAUGGGCCCAUAGUCUGUGGUGUAGCAGCAAACGAUCCACCUGACCC
rnacentral:rRNA from 5 species